rnacentral:sRNA from 1 species
GGGAAAAAACCGCCAUCUAUUUAU